rnacentral:lncRNA from 1 species
AUAAAGAGGAGAUAUUUUAAUCUGCAUUAGGGUUUGCAAUUUUAUAUUACUCUGAAGAAGAUGCUUGAUUUACAGGAAGUGGCCUGAACACCUGCUCGUUGUUUUAUCCACUUUUCAGAGGGAUGUACGCUAAGACAUCGGGUUUACAGGGUCAGCAGUGAGGAUGUCUAAAGUCUGUAUCUCUCUAAACACUUAAAAUUGUCUAGCUCAUAGAAUAAGCUAGUUGCACUACAGGUUAUUUAGUAUUUAUUUCAACAUGUAUGUACUAAUCACCAUUAUAUAUUUUGUAUGUACCAGUACACUAAACAUUCAUUUAAUUAUUUUGAUAUUUAGAUACACUGCAUUCGUGAUCUCGAGAAACAUGAGUUUGUAGGGAUGUCAAUACACACACAGCACUUAAAGUGAACAUCAAAUAAAUGUAUAGAAAAUAUACAUUCCCAAUCAGGAAGCACUUCCUUCUGUAUCUCUUGGUCACACGGUAUAUGUGUAUUUACAGAUUUUGAAUAAACCAUGGAUAAAUGGUUAUAGACAAAUAUUAUUUUAAAAGAAUAAUAAGAGGGAGUUCCCGUUGUGGCACAGCAGUAACAGACAUGACUAGUAUCCUUGAGGAUACAGGUUUAGUGUUGCCAUGAGCUGUGGUGUAGGUUGCAGAUGUGGCUUUGAUCCAAGCUGCUAUGGCUGUGGUGUAGGCUGACAGCUAUAGCUCCGAUUCAACCCCUAGCCCGGGAACUUCCAUAUGCCUAGGGUGUGGCCCUGGGAAAAAAAAGGAGGGGGGGGACAAUAGAAUUAGACAGACACAUAUGAGCAAACAUAUAAGCUGAGCAAAAGGGUAGACAGAAUAAUGUAUAUGAAAUGAAUAAGAAGCGUAUAAAGAAAAAUUGUCAAGGAUGGGAUUGAAAAACAAAGUAGGUUAGGGCAUAAGCAGUCAAAGGUAGUUUAAAUAAUUGCUACAAUGGCUUUAAACAUCAAUUAGAAAUAAGCCAAUGAAGACAAGAUUUGUUCCAACUGAAGUAAUGAGGAGGGUUUCAUAGGAGAGGAACUUAUUCUAAAUGUUGAAGAAUGAGGUUUUAAAUGUACCAAAAACAUAUGAGGAACAAAACCAUGCUGGUAGUUCCAAUAUUCUUUUUAUUGAAAAAUAUUUUCUUUAUUAAUUCAAAUGGUUUAUUUUUAGUUUUUAAAAUUGGGUUAAUAUUGAUUUAUAGCAAUAUAUGUUUCAUGGGUACUGCACCGUAUUAUACUUCUGUAUCUACAACAUGCUCACCACCAAAAAUACAUUUUCCAUACAUCACCAUACAUUUGAUUCACUUUACCCAUUGUGGUCCUGAUAUUCUGAUGCCUCUUGGACUGAACAUUGAGAUGAAAAUGAAGAUGUACUUUAGCCAACCCAUACUACACGAACUAUACUAUAUACUCUGCGUGAAUCUGAUGAAAUUAUUAUCUGUGAGUUUCAGUUUUCUUCUGUAUAAUAUAGAUACAUUAGCCUUCUUUUCUGGCAGUAUUGUUCUGAGGAUCCAAUAAAAUGAGAUAAUGUGUCUGAAAAUGUUUUAUGGACUGUAAAGCAAUAUAAAUGUAAGGCAUGAUUAUUUUUUAAACUAUAACAGAUCACUCAAAGAUUCUACAGAGAUUUUCAAAGCAGAGCAAUCAGUGGAAGAAUAACACAUUAUAAUCAUGAUAAAUGAAUAAAUAUAAUAAAGACUAUUGUAUUUAUUCCACAAUUUAGAUUUUCUGCAGUGCUCACUUAGAAUGAUUAUAUUAGGUGAAAACUUAAAGCUUAUUCCUUGAGUAUAAAAUAUCAAAUUCACAUCACAGUGAAACAGUAACUUGAAGGCAAAAUAGAUUUAGUGCUUGCACAUAAUAAAAUUGGACAUUGAUACAGGCACAUUUUAUAUUACUUCGAACUCAAGCACUUAUAUUAGAAACUUUGCAGUAUGUUGAAAAAAAAAUUUAAUUUCUAAAUUUAACACAGGUUACAUACUACAAAGAAUUAAGAAAAACUAUAUCUUGGCAGUAUGACAAACAAUAAAGCAUCAUUAUAAGGUUGAUGUGUGGAUGAAAGAGAAAAUAUUUGAUACCACAUUUUUGUAUUUAUGUAGUCACUCUUCAUAAGCCCAUUAGCAGUUCUUUGUUUAAGGUGCAUUGCUGGGCUAGGAGCGUUCUAGGACCUUAGUGAUCCAAAUAUGUUUGCUACAGACAGGAAGACAAGAAAGAAAAGAAAUCCAAAUCAUUGUGGGUCUGAGAGAGUUUCUUUCCUGGGAAAAUGCAGCCAAGAAUGGCGGAUAAAUAAAGAACAGAAAACCAAAAUAGCCGCAACAAAACAGAGUUGUUUUUUUGUUUUGUUUUGUUUUAAAAGGUCAUAGCAAAAUGGGUGUUUUGAAUUGGGAAAUUAAUUUCAGAACUGUGGUUUUGCACAAGUGUUCUUUUUACAGUGUUCCUGUAUGAGUAAGAUUAUUAGUUUGGAUUUUUAUACAUCCUAUAGAGAAUCAGUUUUCUGGCUUGAACUUGCAAAAAGCUGUUCAUUUUUGUAAUAUAUUCAUUUUCCCAAUAAGAAUAAUUUUUAACUAGCAGGAGAGGAUCAUCGACUUAUUGGUGGUCCAGUUGGUCAGUUUUGAAAAGAUCCUUACUCAAGUAUGAAAAAUAGAAAGAAGAAUGAUCUGAAAACGGAUUACAUUUAUUAGAAAGGACGAUCAAAUAAAGUAUGAGAAAUAUGUCAAAAUUAUAAAUUAGAGGGUAACCAAAGCAACAGGGAGACCAGCUUUCUGAAUAAAAAGCAAGACAGAAAUAUCCCUUUUUCAACAAAGAUUAGAUUAGGAAUGCAGUACAGAAAAAAUAAAAUCAGUCAUAGCCAAAAUGUCUGUAAAGAAAAUCUAGAGAAUUAACUACCAAUAAUAAAAAUACAUUGCAGUGAUAUAUUGCUCUGUAUUUUAUAACAUAGUCUUUCUUGAUAUUCAUACUUAGCCUUGAAAGGGUAUUAAUCUCCCCCACUUAAAAGGUGAAGAAAAUGAGGUCAAAGAGAAUAUUUGCCUUCCUCCAAGCCAGGCACAGUAAGUGUCAUCCAGGGUUUAAAGCUUCUACCAGUAGUCCUCUUUUCCUAAAUUUCAUCUUUUUUUCUUCUAUGACUAUGCUCUGUCAAAAGAAGGUAUAAUUUUCUCCACAUAUAGCACAUGAAGGCCUGUCAUCAACUGAUUUUUCUGCCUUGCUCACACUCCUUCAUGCCACUAUUAGACAGAGUAAGGUCACUUUAGCAUAAAACAUUUUUAAAAAUGUUACACUGUAUUUUGUUAAGCAAAAGAGUUUAGAGAUUCCAACACAGAAUUGAAAAUAGCUAUUCUGAUUUGCAUUUCCCUAUCUGCAAAACAGUCAUGCUUUCAGGUGAUUCUCUUAACUUUUCAAUUUGCUGAAGUGUGCAAUUAAGAAAAUGGUAUUAGAUUACCUUAUAGUGUAUAAGUGGGUAAGCCAAUUAGUGAUUUCAAAGCAUACUUACUAAAUAAGAACAUUUAAGAAGUCACUAUCAAUUUUACAUACCAUUAGUUCAGCAUUGUGUCUCUGUAAAUUAUUUUAUUUUUGAAACUGUUUCUCUUAAACCUGUACAUUUUGGGUUAAUUUCCUUUUUUUCAUUACUUUUCAAGCAAUCAAAUUGCAAUCCUAAUACUGUAAGUCACCUGCUGUCAUGCUUUCUCUGGUCUUUUUUUUUUUUUUUUUUCCCAUUAGUAUUAGGACCAAAGUUCUUAGCAUGGUAAAUUAAAUAACAAAUUUUUCAUGCUAUCCCACUGCUUUAAACUUACUUCAUGUUACCUUUCUAUUUUACCAUAUACUGAACUAAAAUAACCUAUAAUUUUUUUCUAAACACUUUAUGCUUUCUUCACUUGCAGUAUCUCUGGCCCCAUAUCUGCCUUUCACAGUUUUAGCAACUACUCAGGAGAAAACUGGAGUACCAACUUCUAUAUGACACCAUUUUAAACCAAACCAAGCAUGAAAAUCAUUGCUUUUUAUUUUUCUGGAAAAU